rnacentral:rRNA from 1 species
GAUGAACGCUGGCGGCGUGCUUAACACAUGCAAGUCGAACGGAAAGGCCCAAGCUUGCUUGUGUACUCGAGUGGCGAACGGGUGAGUAACACGUGGGUGCUCUGCCCUGCACUUCGGGAUAAGCCUGGGAAACUGGGUUUAAUACCGGUUAGGACCACUUCUUGGAUGUUGUGGUGGACAGUUUUUUCGGUGUGGGAUUAGCUCGCGGCCUAUCAGCUUGUUGGUGGGGUAAUGGCCUACCAAGGCGUCGACGGGUAGCCGGCCUGAGAGGGUGUACGGCGGCAUUGAGACUGAGGUACGGCCCAGGUGCCGACGUUAGGAAGAAGUGGGAAAGAUUGAACAAGGAGUGCAGGCCGGGUGCAGCGGCGCUGCGUGUGGGAUGACGGCUUUGUCGGUGUAGACUCCUUUCGCUAUGGACGAAGCGGUUGAUGACGGUACCGGAAGAAGAAGCACCGGCUAACUACGUG